AAAAUUUUUAUACAUACGGAAUUUCUUUAAUUUAGUUUAAUGAUGUUUAUUAAAUUACACGAAAGGUCCUUAUUUUUUCAAGGUGUUUUUCAAUGUAUAAAUACGUAGUAUAUAUGGCGAGACUCUUGAGGGAACAGGACAAGCUGAAGACUACAGGCUGAAGCUGUCCCCUAUGAAAGCGAGCCGAUAAUACGAAGUAUUAUAAAUAAAGAAGCCAGUAA
rnacentral:ncRNA from 1 species